CUUAAUUGAAGCGAAUUAGGGAUAACAACACAUGAAAAGGACUUGGGAAUUGUUAUAGACAACAAACUGUGCAACAAUGUGCAAUGUCAAUCAGCAGUGGCCAAGGCCAGUAUGGUAUUGUCAUGCAUGAAAAAGGGCAUUCAUUCUCGGGACAAGAAUAUAAUUUUGCCUCUUUAUAAUUCACUGGUAAGACCCCAUAUUGAAUAUGCUGUGCAAUUUUGGGC